UACGGGGGGGGCAAGCGUUGUUCGGAAUUACUGGGCGUAAAGGGCGCGUAGGCGGCCUGGCAAGUCGGGGGUGAAAGCCUGUGGCUCAACCACAGAAUGGCCUUCGAUACUGCCGGGCUUGAGACCGGAAGAGGUCAGUGGAACUGCGAGUGUAGAGGUGAAAUUCGUAGAUAUUCGCAAGAACACCAGUGGCGAAGGCGGCUGACUGGUCCGGUUCUGACGCUGAGGCGCGAAAGCGUGGGGAGCAAACAGG
rnacentral:rRNA from 1 species